rnacentral:rRNA from 1 species
CCUACGGGCCGCAGCAGUGGGGAAUAUUGCACAAUGGGCGCAAGCCUGAUGCAGCCAUGCUGCGUGUAUGAAGAAGGCCUUCGGGUUGUAAAGUACUUUCAGCGGGGAGGAAGGCGAUAAGGUUAAUAACCUUGUCGAUUGACGUUACCCGCAGAAGAAGCACCGGCUAACUCCGUGCCAGCAGCCGCGGUAAUACGGAGGGUGCAAGCGUUAAUCGGAAUUACUGGGCGUAAAGCGCACGCAGGCGGUCUGUCAAGUCGGAUGUGAAAUCCCCGGGCCCAACCUGGGAACUGCAUUCGAAACUGGCAGGCUGGAGUCUUGUAGAGGGGGGUAGAAUUCCAGGUGUAGUGGUGAAAUGCGUAGAGAUCUGGAGGAAUACCGGUGGCGAAGGCGGCCCCCUGGACAAAGACCGACGCCCAGGUGCGAAAGCGUGGGGAGCAAACAGGAUUAGAUACCCCGGUAGUC